AGAUUGAACGCUGGCGGCAUGCCUAACACAUGCAAGUCGAACGGGAGUAGCAAUACUCUAGUGGCGGACGGGUGAGGAAUACGUAGGAAUUUGCCCUUAAGUGGGGGAUAACCCGGGGAAACCCGGAUUAAUACCGCAUGACCUCGAAAGAGCAAAGUGGGGGAUCGCAAGACCUCACGCUUUUGGAGAAGCCUACGUCGGAUUAGCUAGUUGGUGAGGUAAUGGCUCACCAAGGCGACGAUCCGUAACUGGUCUGAGAGGAUGAUCAGUCACACCGGAACUGAGACACGGUCCGACU
rnacentral:rRNA from 1 species